UGAAUAAAUAAAUAAAUAAAUAAAGCAUUAUUCUUCUUAGGGUGGAAUUAAUAUAAGAAACAAAAUACUGCAUGAGAGUAUUUGUCCCUUAAAUAAGUAUAUGAGUGCAUAUGUGUAUAAAAUUCCAUGUAUGUGAGUUGCAUAUGUAAUAAACCAACACAAACUCAUGGGAAAUGGAUGCAUUAUUUGGUAGCGGCGAAUGACUUAUCAAACCUAGUAGCUGUUUCCUCUGACGUUUCCCUUAGAAUGAACUACUAUUGCAGGUGAAUCGUUUUAUUAGAAAAAGUGACUGAUUAGAGGUCUUGGGAAAAAAAUGAUCUCAACCUUUCCUCAAACUUUAAAUGGGUAGGAAGCCCGGCUUGCUGGUAUAGAGCUGGGUGUGGAAUGAAGGUGCCCAGCGAGCUACUUUUGGUUCAGCAGAAGUGGUACUGCAGGAUGCACAGAAUGUCAGUGAAGGUGCCUGCUGUGGAUGCUCAUUAGACACCAGAAAGGUAUUGGUUGUUACAGACAGCAGGACAGUAGCCAUUAAAGUCAGAAUCUGCUAAGGAGUGUAUAACAACUGACCUGUGGAUGCAUCUGACCCUGAAAAUGGAUGGCACUGGGCCACUGGGCCCAUAUUCGGCCUUCUUAGGCAGUGGACACACUAGAGAUGCUGGCAGGAAAAGGGCCUUAGCCGCCUGGAUCCCCCUCAUGCAUGCCGGGGUGUAACAAGCAAGGCAGCUGCAGUACAGCUUGAAGCCUAGGUAUGGGCCUGGGUGGAGCUGUAGAUGCA
rfam:Papio anubis isolate 1X1155 chromosome 2, whole genome shotgun sequence.